ACCCGCACAAGCGGUGGAUGAUGUGGUUUAAUUCGAUGCAACGACGAAAAACCUUACCCACCUUUGACAUGUACGGAAGAUCGCAGAGACGCGAUUGUGCUCGAAAGAGAACCGUAACACAGGUGCUGCAUGGCUGUCGUCAGCUCGUGUCGUGAGAUGUUGGGUUAAGUCCCGCAACGAGCGCAACCCUUGCCAUUAGUUGCUACAUUCAGUUGGGCACUCUAAUGGGACUGCCGGUGACAAACCGGAGGAAGGUGGGGAUGACGUCAAGUCCUCAUGGCCCUUAUAGGUGGGGCUACACACGUCAUACAAUGGCUGGUACAAAGGGUUACCAACCCGCGAGGGGGAGCUAAUCCCAUAAAGCCAGUCGUAGUCCGGAUCGUAGUCUGCAACUCGACUACGUGAAGUCGGAAUCGCUAGUAAUCGUGGAUCAGAAUGUCACGGUGAAUACGUUCCCGGGUCUU
rnacentral:rRNA from 1 species